GGGCCCGCACAAGCGGUGGAGCAUGUGGUUUAAUUCGAUGCAACGCGAAGAACCUUACCUACACUUGACAUGCUGAGAAGUUACUAGAGAUAGUUUCGUGCCUUCGGGAACUCAGACACAGGUGCUGCAUGGCUGUCGUCAGCUCGUGUCGUGAGAUGUUGGGUUAAGUCCCGCAACGAGCGCAACCCUUGUCCUUAGUUGCCAGCCUUAAGUUGGGCACUCUAAGGAGACUGCCGGUGACAAACCGGAGGAAGGUGGGGACGACGUCAAAUCAUCACGGCCCUUACGUCCUGGGCCACACACGUGCUACAAUGGUAGGUACAGAGAGCAGCCACGUCGCAAGGCGGAGCGAAUCUAUAAAACCUAUCGUAGUCCAGAUUGGAGUCUGCAACUCGACUCCAUGAAGUAGGAAUCGCUAGUAAUCG
rnacentral:rRNA from 1 species